AGAGUUUGAUCCUGGCUCAGAGCGAACGCUGGCGGCAGCCUAACACAUGCAAGUCGAGCGGGCAUCGCAAGAUGUCAGCGGCAGACGGGAGAGUAACACGUGGGAACGUACCCUUCGGUUCGGAAUAACUCAGGGAAACUUGAGCUAAUACCGGAUACGUCCGUAAGGAGAAAGAUUUAUUGCCGAAGGAUCGGCCCGCG
rnacentral:rRNA from 1 species